UCUUGGAAUAGCUCAGUCUGUAGACCAUGCGACUCUUAAUCUCAGGGCCAUGGGUUUGUGUCCCAUGUUGAGUGAA